rnacentral:rRNA from 1 species
GAGAUAGCUGGUUCUCCCCGAAAGCUAUUUAGGUAGCGCCUCGUGAAUUCAUCUCCGGGGGUAGAGCACUGUUUCGGCAAGGGGGUCAUCCCGACUUACCAACCCGAUGCAAACUGCGAAUACCGGAGAAUGUUAUCACGGGAGACACACGGCGGGUGCUAACGUCCGUCGUGAAGAGGGAAACAACCCAGACCGCCAGCUAAGGUCCCAAAGUCAUGGUUAAGUGGGAAACGAUGUGGGAAGGCCCAGACAGCCAGGAUGUUGGCUUAGAAGCAGCCAUCAUUUAAAGAAAGCGUAAUAGCUCACUGGUCGAGUCGGCCUGCGCGGAAGAUGUAACGGGGCUAAACCAUG